rnacentral:misc_RNA from 1 species
AACGCACAUUGCGCCUCCUGGUAUUCCGGGAGGCAUGCCUGUUCGAGCGUCAUGAAAGAAAGUUCAAGCAAGGUUUCUUGCUUGGUUUUGAAGGUUGAGCGUUGCCUUUGUGCUCGUUUAGCUUUGAAAUUGAGAGGCGGACUGCUCCGUGUUCCACUAGGCGUUAUAGGAUAACUUUUUCGCUUGGACUCGUGAGGAUGUUCUGUUCAAAACCUCCUUCAUUUAUUCAUGGGUUGACCUCGGAUCAGGUAGGGAUACCCGCUGAACUUAA